rnacentral:lncRNA from 1 species
UAAGGAGAAACCCAAGGUACACUUGGAAAAGAAACAUAGAAAAAAAAAUCAUGGGUAGAUGCAGGUGGGAAGAGGUUGUGAUAAUACAUGGAGGGAUAAGAUGGCAAAGAGUGAGUGAGAGAACAGUGGCAGAAAUAAAUGGAAUUGUGGGAGGGUGCAGUGGAACUCCAUUGCAAUAGAAACUCCAUGGAAACUAAGAGAGUAAUCCUUAGCAAACAAUCUUAGUAAUGGGGAAUAGGGAGCCUGCACCAGCCAUCUUCUUAACUAGAACACCAAUCCCAGACAAUAUUGUGGAUGCCAAGAAGUACUUGCUGACAGGAGCCUGAUAUAGCUGUCUCUGGAGAGGCUCCAAAAGAUCCUGACAAGUACAGAUGUGGAUAUUUUCAGCCAACCAUUUGACUGAUCCUGGGAACUCCAAUGAAGAAGCUAUGGAAAAGACUGAAAGAGUUGAAGGGGUUUGCAACUCCAUAGGAAGAGCAACAAUAUCAACCAACCAGAUGCCCCAGAUAUCCCAGUGACUAAAUCUCCGACCACAGAAUACACAUGGAGGGAUCCAUGGCUCCAGCUGCAUAUGUAGCAGAGGAUGGCCUAGUAGAUCAUCAGUGGGAGGAGAGCCCCUUGGUCCUAUGAAGGCUUGAUGUACCAGUAGAGGGGAAUGCCAAGGAGGUCUCAGCACCAACUCUUGCACGCGUUCAGGCGACCGGCCAGGAAAGACGCAACAAACCGGAAUCUUCUGCGGCAAAAGCUUUAUUGCUUACAUCUUCAGGAGCCAGAGAGCAAGAGCAAGAGCAAGAAAGCAAGAAAAAGAACAAGAA